GGCGGACGCGACGGUACCUUCGCAGGGUCCCGCCCACGGGCGCACCUGCGGGUUCGGCCCACGCAACUGCUAGAUGUGGAACGCUGCGCGGAAAGAUUGUUCAGGGACACUUUUUGAAGGAUGUGGGGGGGGGGAAUGUGCGUGAACAGUAAAGCGCUUGCGUUUUCCGGAACGCAAGAAGAUAAUCAUUACUCGAUUUUACGGAGUACCUUUGAUUCGGGAACCAGCCGCUGGAGAAGUGCAGUCCCCGGAGCGCGCGCUCCCAGCGAGGGCGCAGAGAAGGCAGGAAACAAGCGCCUUGUUCGGGACCCAGCCGCGGACCUGCGUUCAUACUUAGUAAUUUAGAGUGUACUUCAGCGAUGGAAAAAAAUGAUUCUUUUUAAGGCUGAACUAUUGGGACGCGUGGGCGGCUCAGCCAGUUAAGCACCUGACUUCGGCUCAGGCCAUGAUCGCAGUGUUCUUGAUCCGUCUGGCUCCCUGCUCAGGGGGAGUUGGCUUCUCCCUCUCCCUCUGCCUCUCCCCCCAACUCGUGCUCACUCGCUUGC
rnacentral:lncRNA from 1 species